rnacentral:lncRNA from 1 species
UUCCUGCUCCAUAGACAAGUAGACAGACUAGAAUAAAGGCAGGGAAGGGUCUUUUGGUGGUGGGAACAAAGGAAGGACUUUUAACAGUUACAUAAUAUGACAGUUGCCUGUAUUGAAGCCAACACUGUGGAGGAGUUUUAAAGCCAAAGUUGUUUUCCUUUGCUAAGCAUUUAGCUAACUAUUUACUAUUUGUGCUAGUAAUCAUACGGCAUAGCAGCCAUUUUACAUAUAUAUUACUAGGUUAAUUUUAAGAUAGCCCAAAAUUCUUAAAAGCCAAAUCUUUGUAUUAACUGCUCUUAGACAUUAACUGUUAGCUUAGAUAGCGAAAUAUACUGAAAUGAGAGUGUAUAUAUAUUUUUACCACAAAAGUUAUUUUGAACCAGACAUGAUAGCACAUGUUUGUGAUCCCACCAUUCAGGAAGUUAGAGUGACACAAUGUUGAGUUAAAUCUGGUGUGAGACAAAGCCCUGUCUCAAAAAUAAAAGUCAUGGUUAUGUUCAUUUGUUUUGCUUACAUUUUUUUGGUUGUUGAGACUGCUAUAGGUCAAGCUGUACUUGAACUUGUUUUUUUUUUAACACUGUAUCAACUAAUUUUAUUAAAUUCUGCCUGUUUAUUCCUUAAUAUUUAUUUAUUAUUAUUUGUGUGUGUGUCCACAGAGACCAGAAGAGGGAGGGCCUCAGAUUCCUCAGAGCUGGAGUUACGGUGGUUGUAAGCCUCUUGCUGUGGGUGCUGGGAACAAGAUGGAUCCUCUGCAGGAGCAGAGUGUUCCUCGGCCAACUAACUCUCCAGCCCUGUCUCUUUAUCCUUAAAACCACUUGUUUUACAAAUGACUUUAUUUAACCUAGCUUUUACUUGGCUCCUGUUUCUUAGCACUUAACUAAAUUGUGUUUAUUUUCAACAAUCUCUAGUCUUUUUUUUUCUUUUUUCUUUUUUUUUUUUUGGCCUUGAGGCAGUCAACUGUGUCUCUAGCACUUACUGUCCAUUGUCCUACAGCAGGUUAAUGUAGAAAAGGGAGAAGAGAGACUGCCAUUAAAGAACAGCGAGGGAGGAGAUUGUCAGAGCAGUAAAUGAAUGUUUAUGGGUUCUUGCAGUUUAUAAAAAUGUUUGGAAACCCAGCUUAUGUUUGUAACCCACUCUUAGUGGCACUCAAGUGUAGCUAUAAAGACUGGAGUCAGUUUUUUAAGUGCAUAGAAAACCAUGUUUAUGCAAUCGGCAUCUGUUGGUCUCUUUCAACCUGUUCAUCAUAGACCUCACAUAGCCACAGGGAACUUAAUGUCCAUUAAUGCCUGGUUAAAUUUUUAGGGGGUACUUUAUAAUUUUUUUCACAUUUCUUCAAGUGAUGGUGGAAAAAGUGAUUCAGAAAUAACCCUAAGAGGGCAAUGUAGACAUAGGAACUGAGCAACAGAGAGAAAAACAUCUGUCACAGACAGGGCCUCUAGGAUGCACUGAAGGAAACAAAGGAAGCUCUCAUCUGGAUCCUGAGAAGCACCCCCCCAAGCCCCCUCCCCUGGCUCCUCUCUGCAGGUAGGUACAGCACCAUCUGGACCAACUGUACAUUGUGACUUAGAGGAGAGCACCUUUGUACUUCAGUUCUUCUACCAAGUAGGAUAAAAAAAUAAAAAUAACCUACUCUUCUGCAUGGAAAAAUCAUGUGAACUCCAUGAAGUAACAGCUUUGAGAACACUGUAACACACUGAAAGAACAUGGCAGAUAGGAAAUAAUCUCCUGCACAUAUCAGAACAGCCUGGCUUUAAGAUUCUGACUGUUGUUGGCCAUUCUUAGAUCAAAUCACAGGUGUCAGUCUGGUUUCCUUUACUCAGAUGACUUUAAUUACCACAUUCAUUCUUACUUUUGCUUCUGCUAAAGCUGUUUUCUACAUGUAUUUUCUGGAUCACUUGACACCCGUUGUCUUCCUUAAAACCUGGUUCAUUCACACUGGCCCAUUCUCUCCUGUGUUGCUAAAGACCCCGUUAGGUGCUCUCAGAUGUAUGUCACUUACUCCCCAGGCUCUUCCUGGUCUCCUGGCUCCCUUUAUCCUAACUCGUUUACUUUCAGUAAAUGUAGCCAACCAUGUGUUUCUUUACAAUAGGCCUGGUAUGGGUGCACGGGCCUUGCCAUCAGGAUUUUACCCAUUUUUCCCCUGACUGUGUUUGCUAGGCCCAAUACUUCCAUGCUGCCUAACACUCAGGUACUCUGAGAAAAGGAUGACCUUUUCUAAGCUGUUUCAAAGCAUUGUCAUUGGUAUAGUUUAUCUUCGGGAUUUUGCCUUUGAAUCAUAAUGAGUUCAUGUAGUAACGUCUUGGUGACUUAUACUACUCCUUAUGAGCUGACAUACCUGCACUUUAACAGCAAUCAUAGAAAGAAAAGGUUUUUUUUCUCCCCUCACUUACAGACAGGACUUUUUAUUUUUAUGCCUUUCUGCAUCAUUAUUUUCAGCUACUAAUUUUUUUCUAUUUUUUUCUACUCUGCACAUUUUAUUUAAAUGUAUUUCUUUUCAUGAAAUAUUUUAAUGUUUUCCUUCUUCCAAUUCCUCCCAGACCCCACCAAUAACCUUAAAUGUUCUCUAUCUCUCAAAUAAACACAUGCGUGCGCAUACGCAUACACAUACAUACAUAUACACAGAGAGAGAGACAGAGACAGAGAGAGAGAGAGAGAGAGAGAAUCAGAACAACCAACCAAAAGACC